GGUCCGAUCCCAUAAGGCUCUCACAAUGUCCAGGCCCAAAGCAGACUCUCACUCGCACAUUGCCUGCCUUUACCUGGUGGGCUUCAGGCACUGAAGUGGGUUGCACAAUG
rnacentral:snoRNA from 1 species